rnacentral:rRNA from 1 species
UACGAAGGGUGCAAACGUUGCUCGGAAUCAUUGGGCGUAAAGCGCACGUAGGCGGCUCCGCAAGUCGGAUGUGAAAUCCCUCGGCUCAACCAAGGAAGUGCAUCGAAAACUGCAGAGCUUGAGUAGUUAAGAGGAUCGCGGAAUUCCCGGUGUAGAGGUGAAAUUCGUAGAUAUCGGGAGGAACACCAGUGGCGAAGGCGGCGAUCUGGGAACAUACUGACGCUGAGGUGCGAAAGCGUGGGGAGCAAACAGGG